CAAAAGACGGAGAAGACGUCUCUUAAUUUGGCUCCGCAAGGGACGUCUCUUACGAGACAGCUGUCGCAUUCUUCUUCGUCCUUGCCGCUAAGCCGCGGUUAUCUCUGCAACAACAACAAAGCUGAGUCUUCUUCUUCCACCAUUCUCCUCCUCUUCAACCAAUCUCGCUUCUGCAGCAACCCUCCUACGGCUUUGUCUCAAAGCGACACAGUCUGUUGCUUCAUGUUGAAUGAAAUCCUAAUUUCGAGGGCACUGGUUUCAUCACUGUUGCUUUGGAUGUGGAGAUUGUUCCUCCAGAGAACUCAGUGCUCAAUACCGCAGCGGAAAGGUUCUUUAAGAGCGAGAUAAGGAGGAGGUUGUUUGUGACGUCUGUGUUGCUUGUACUUAGCCGUGUUGGAUAUUUUAUCCCUUUGCCUGGGUUUGACAGAAGAUUAAUACCUCAAGAUUACCUUAGCUUUGUCUCAGGUUCCGUUGGUGAGUUACUACUGGUUCUAUUAGAACGGUUCAUAUGUUUCCCUUAACAGCUUGCGUUGUUUUAGUUGAGUAUUGCUCUGUUUAUAUAUGUGUGUGUGUGUUAGCUUCACGAAUUUAAUGAUGGCUUGCUCUCUGUUAGGAAGAUCGUUGUUUCAAUUGAUAGAUUUUUUUCACAGCACCUGGAUGUUUGUUUACAACUGUUAGAACGGUUUAAUAAAUAACUUUUACUACUGGUUCCGUGAAGAAUUACAAUGCUGCACAAGACGUACGGGGAACUACAAGUUGUUGUGCUUGUUCUGUCUUUGUUUCAUGUUAAUGUUCUUGUUCUGUUUGAGUAAUGAGAAUGAUAUGCUUUGUUGUUUUGUUUCAUGUUUCAAGUUCUGGUUAUUGAUUCAUUUUAUUGAGGUUUUCUUGUUGUUUCUGUUUCAUCGUCUUUGACAUUGGAACAACAUUGGCUAAAGAAGAUCAAGUAAGAAGAGUGAAAGUAAUGUUGUAAGAACCUUGCAAUGGAGCAAUUAAAUGUUGGGGUUUCUUAAAUUUGUCUCAUAAAUCACUUUUUGUACUUAAAAGCAUUAAAAAAUAAUAAGAACCCCUAAUAUGGGUCUUUGCAAUAA